UCCCACACCCAAUCUCCUCUUAAACCCAAAGCCUAUUGGGUUCCAUUUUACUUUGGGUGAAUGCAAGUACAUUAUUCAAGAUAUUGAUGCACACUCUGAUUGGGUUUCUUGUGUCCAAUAUUCUCCUAAUACACUUUAGGUGACUAUAGUUUCUGGGUCAUGGGAUAGGACAGUGAAAAUCUAGAAUUUGAGAAAUUGCAAGUUGAAAUCCACCUUGGCUGGGCAUACUGAGUCGGUUAAUACAGUGGUUGUUUAGCCUGAUGGGUCCUUGUGCACGAGUGGUGGGAAAGAUGGGAUGAUAUUUCUAUGGGAUUUGGCGGAAAGGAAGAAGCUUUACUCGUUGGGAGCUGGUUCAACUAUUCAUUCACUUUGCUUCAAUCCCAACAGGUAUUUGCUUACUGAAGCCAGCAUUAAGAUUUGAGACUUGGGUUUGCUGGAGUGUGAGGACGAGGAGGAAAGAAGUAGAGAGGAGUUGUUGGUGAAAACAUUAUCAUAGUCGGUUGAAUAGGACAUGCAUAGAGGGGUAAAACGGAACCAACUAGUAUUGGGUUUACGAGGAGGUGGGUUGUGGAGAUGGAUAUGAGAAUGAGAAGAUGAAUGGCAAUUGGGUUUUUCCUAAGAAUGUUUUAAUGAGGUAUAUUCUUUGUGUAAUGAAUGUCAAUAACCUGAAAGACAUUUACCCUCAAAACAACAUAAGAAGUCAACAACCCUAUCUUCAAUGUCUCUCUCACGCCCACAAAUCCACUCCACUUUCCACAACGCGCCUCUCUGUUUUCCUCCCCAAAUCGCUGACAUCAGCCGACGGUCGGCUGAUAGUCCAUGGUCUAAGGGUCGCCAGAUCCAAGUAUUUUGCUAUCUUAUGUAACUAGCAAGAAGGUGUUCUCUUUGGACUUUUGGUGACCGGUCAGUAAUACUGGAUUAUAACUUCUAUUUCAGUUUUUAGGUGUGCACUUCUUGCUUUUUUUCCCCUUCAACUUGAUGUUUAGUAGGACACGUCUUUCCUUCUAUUUACUCUUUUUGUGCUGUAAGCAUUCUCAAGACUACUUUGUUAAAAUUGUUGUGUUAGGGUAACAUCUUUAAUGGUGUAUAAAUUGCCUUUAGAGUAUCAGCGGAGUUAGGUGCUACCUAUUUAGGCAUACGUGUGUGAACAUGGUUUAGGGAGGGAUGCUAUGUGGACUGCUAUUACUCAUAUCUCUAUUUUGAAAAUAGUACUUAGUGAAUCCUAAUUUGCAAGCGAAAAAUAUGCUAACAGAUUUCAUAGAUAAUAUGCACUGCCAAUUUAUUGAAUUUCCUCGCAGUCUUUUGGAUUCAUAUACACCAGCGCCAUUCGUGGACAAUUGGUGAACUACAAACCAACCAACCCGACCGAACUUGAUUGAGUUGGGUUGGGUUGGUUGGGUUUAAAUAUGUAAUUGGGUUAAUUUUAUGCCAAACCUAACAUGUUGGGUUUAGGUUGAGUAAAAAUCCAACCCACGCCCACCCCUACAAGAAGGGACAUAUAUGUAAUUUUAUUAUUUUAAAUAAAUUUUAGGGCCAAUGAAUAAUAAACUUCCAAGCAUAGGUCAAAAAGUUUUAAAACCUCCACCAUAACCACUCAAAAUUGAUCUGCUCAUAAAAACUAAAUACAAAUACUUUAAAAAACACUCAUAACUAGUACGUCGAAACUCCCAAGAAUGCUCUAAGAGACUUUAUAAAUAUAAAAUACUUUUUAUUUUUAAGAGUUAAUGCAAAAAAAUAAACUUUUAGUGACUCAAAGUUUCAUAUACAAUUACUGCAUUUAAUAAGUUACAGAUUUCAAUACUAUAUUUCUUAAAUUAUUCAAACCACAUUUUAAUUCACUGACCAUUGACAUACAAAAUAUUAUGUAAAAUAAAAUAUGAGGAGAAAUCAAUAAACGUUCCUUGAGAAAAACAAAAUGAAGAGAGUCAAAAUCAAGAGCGUUGUUAGAGUGUCUAAAGAUUUUAAUUCUCUAAAUUUAAAGAUAUUUCAAUAAUGCAUCAUUAUAAAUAAAGAAUCUCUUAUUGAUACUCUUACACUAGCUAUUUAAAGAGCUAUCUUAUCCUAUCUUGUCUUGCUUAGAUAAGCAAAAGCAAUUCACUAUCAAAUGUAGUCUUCUUGAUAUAUCAAGUCUAAAUGGUGAGACGUUUAACAAUUUUGAAGGAUAGGAAAGUUGGUAUGGAUUCUAAAACCUAGCCAAAUUACAAAUGUGUUUUAAUUAUACUAUUUCAACUAUGGAUAGCAGUCAGUCAAAAUAUAUUAUACUCAGUUUCAAAUAGUUUUGAUUGCAAUGAUGUAACUUGGUAAACUCUAAAAGGAAACAUCCACCACCCCAUACCACAGGUCAAACAACACAAUUCACUACAUUAAUUGAUCAAAAAUACAAUUAUCAAUUUUGUAAUUUCGCAAAAUUAACAAAAAAAAUAAUCAAAAGAAAUCUAAGAACAACUCCCCAAUAUUUUUUUCUUUUGACUUGUUAAUGGAGUGGAAGCAAAUCCUCCGGUCUUACUUUAUCACCACUUCUCUAUAAAACUAAUGAAUUGAAAAGACAAAUCCAUUUUUUUUUCUUUUUUUGAAAAACCCAUGAAGCAUGCUUUCAAUGUUUAGUACUUGUCUACAUCAUGGUUUGAAAACGGCACACUAUAAGCUUCUUUUAUGAAGAUUUAACUCCUAAAACAAAACAAUUUGUGGAAACAAUAUGUAAUGGUGAAUUUUUAGAUAAAAAUCUUGAUCGAGCUUUGAAAUUUUUAGGUCAUAUAGUUGAAAAUUCUCAAUUUGGCAAACAGAGAAAGCGAUCGAAAAUUCAAUCAGAUCUAGUCUUGCUAGUUCUAGUGAAGGAAAAUAUCAAUUGAGUCAAGAGAAUGAUUUAAAUGUUAGGAUUGUUACUUUAUCUAAAAAGGUUGAAGCCAUGUAAUUACAAUGAUGAUUGACCUAAUUAGGGACGAACUAGUAAAUUUAAGAUUUUCAUGUGUUCUUUUGGUUAUUUAUAUAUCCAAGGAAGAGUUGAUUGUGUUUCUAAAUAGGUAGAGGCAAUUUCUUUUAAACAUAAUGAUAACAAAUUCAUAUUGAAAUAUUUGAAAGAAAAAUUUUUGUCAAAAUUUGGAAUACCUCGAGCCAUUAUAAGUGAUAGGUUUACACUUUUGUAAUAGACCUUUUAAGGCCCUAAUGAAAAAAUAUGAGAUUACUCGUUAAGUGUCUACUCCUUAUCACUCGAACACAAGUGGUCAAGCUGAACUUGCAAAUAGGGAGACUAAACACAUCUUAAAAAAACAAUGAAUUCAAAUAGAAAUGAUUGGUCUUUACGUUAACUGAUGCACUUUAGACCUACUGUACAGCUUUCAAAACACUUCUUGGUAUGUCCUCUUAUUGACAUGUUUUUGAAAGCCUUGUCAUUUACUUGUUGAAUUAGAACAUAAAGCAUUUUGGGCUAUUAAAAUGUUCAAUUUCAGUUUAGAUAAGGCGUGUUCACUAAGGAAACUUCAACUAAACGAGUUGAAAGAAAUCAUGAAUGAAGUUUAUGAGAACUCUUGAAUUUACAAGGAAAGAAUGAAGGUAUAUCAUGAUAAAAAUAUUGUUGAAAAAACUUUUUUGAGUCUUUCCAAAAAGUUCUUUUGUACAACUCAAUGUUACAAUUAUUUUCUAGAAAACUAAGAUCAAAGUGGACUGGUUCUUUCAUUGUUGAACCUAUUUACCCACACGGAGCUAUAAAAAUUGAAGAUGCAAUUAAAUAAAAUAUUUUUGGAGUUACAUCGUUUGACUUCUUUUUUGAAAAUCUCUCUAAAUUAGAGGAGUCCAUUGCUUUGCUUAGUAUUAAAUAUUGAUUUUUCUUUUCUCAUUAUCUGUUUAUAUGUUUCCCUUUAGUUUUGUAAUAUUGUGUUUAUCUUAGGCGUGUUUCUCUUACUAUUAUUUUUCUUUUUUUGUUCUAAUGACAUUGAAGGUUCUCCUAGUCCAAUUAAAAUCCAAAGCCCAUCUCUUUGUUCAAACUUUUGAUAUUUAAUGUCCUUCAUACAUUUUUCAAUGUUUAAUCUUCGCAUUGAGGACAAUGAUUCAUUUAAGUUGGGGAGUAAGGACCAUCCAAUUUUUAGCAAAGAAUAUUAUCUAUGGUACAUAUAAACUUUUUAUCAUGUCCCGAUUACUUCAUUUUAUAGCUACGACGAAUGUAAUGACACAAGUUCUUAAAAGAGAUGAAAAUCCGUAUUGAGGGCAUUCCAUAAAAGAGUUAUGCGACAUGUACAUCUAGCUUUACACCUAGUUUUUUUACUUAUGUGAGUUGAUAGAAUUUUAUACAUUGAUUUUAACAACAAUUUUUUAAAUAAUGGACAAAUUUCUAACACAUGGGCAAGUGUCACAAGGGUGACAACAAUGGGUGUACAAAUGGCAUAAUCCUGCAUAAAAAUCCAAGCAAGUCUUUGAGCCCAUAAUAUUCUUUGGAGAGUAACCAUUUUACCCAUCAAUCUUCUAUAACUAUUGGUCCAUAUUGUUAAAAAAAAAAUGUGAAAAAGGAGAGAGUGUUGUCAUUUUGAUGAUCUUUGAGCAUGUAUAUAUAAAUAACCAAUUUAUUUUUCUAAAAGAUGAUAGUAAGGGCAUCUUUGAUCCGUUUAACCCUUUUUGGCCUACCAAAUAAAUAUAUAUCCUUAGUAACCACUUUGAAGCCUCAUGUUCUUAAAAAUAUAAUGAUGAAAUGAGAAAGAGAACUAGCUCAAAAGGCCUCUCUUCAAAAACAAAUUCAAAACACGACAACAUAUAAAUCUAUACUUUCCUCUUUCAUACUUUAUUUAUAAACCUCAUAUGUUCUUUCAUUAGCCUUAUCAUAGCCUACGUUUUAACCAAAUAAAAAGUUAUUCUUUUUUUAAUAAACAAUGGUUUGAAAUAUAUGCUUGUUACAAUGAGAUACUUAAUACGGUGACACUAAAAAAGGAUAGGGGAAAAUAAAGAAAAAAAUGGGAAAAAAAUUGGUUUGACUGUCAUUAUUUGCAAUAAUGAGAUCAUUCAUAUUUUUUAAAAAGAUAUGGGCAAUAUUUUCCUUGUUUGGUGUGUGUGUGUGUGUGUGAUAUACAAAUAUUUUGUAUGCUAUAUCAGGGGUAUAUUUUUCUUCCGAGUGUUAUCUUGUUAGAAUUUAUGAAAUUCAAUGGUUACACAUACAAAUUACCAAUUUUUUUUCAAGUAAUUCACUCUCUCACACACACACACAUUUAUCACAUCUCUUUAGCUCAUUUACCCACCAAUAAAAGAUUGAGAAAUAUAACAUUUUAUAGAUUAGAAAUUAAAACCGGUCAAACAUAUUUAAUUAAUAAUUUUCAUUUUUUUCCAUGCAAAUUUCAUGUUUGUAAUCAAACAUACCCUUAGGAAAAACAGAAAGGGUGAUUAUAUUGCCACAUCAAAAUUUUAUUGAACCACCACAUUUUUUCUAUUUACAAAAAUAACCAUAAUUAAAAUGACAUAAAUAACCACCAACACCCAUACAUUGUUUCAUCUAUUCUAUGUACACCAUGGAUUCAAACCCUAACCUAUACAGGAUGGUGACCUUCCAAUUUCGUUCAUAAUCCAUGGUUUUUUCUUUGUCUUUUUACUCCAUCAUCUCCAUUUAAGUUUGCAGUUGCUCAAUUUUGUGUAAUUUACUAGUUUCAUCUGACCAGUGUAUGUUUCUGGGUUAUUGUCUUAAGGUGGUAUGAUUUUCUGUUAUCUUCUUUCUACCUCUGUUAUCCAUAAUUAUUGCAGAGGGUAGAUUUUCUCACAACAAACGCAAAAGAACUCGUGGAAAUGAAAUAAUCAUUAAUCUGGAUGUCUACAAUGAGCUUGUAGGAAAUAAAAUAAUCAUAAUCCUUUUAACUACCAAGAAUAUUUUCUAUCUGAUAAUGCUUACUGAUCUGAAUUCGUGUCUCUCUCUCUCUCUCUCUCUCUCUCUCUCUCUCUCACAAUUGGAGUCGGAAUAUAUAUAUGUAAAAUGUUUUUAGUGUAAUUAUAAAAAACGUGUUUUGAUUAGUGGUGGAAAAAAAGAAUGUGGUGGUAAUAUAAUCAUACUUAGGUUUAUAAUUGUGAAUUUAUCGUGGUGUAUUUAUCAAAAACAUGUUUUAAUUGUAGUUGGAGUAGGAAAUAAAUUUUUUAGUGAUAAUAUAAUUAUCCACAAAGAAAUCAAUAUAUUCAUAUAUUUAAGUGUGAAUAUUACAUGAUAAGCCUCCUCUUUACAUGACUCUUGAGAUAGAUGUUUCUCUCUCUCCCUUGAUUUGCAUGACUUUCAUUUUCCACUUGAAUGUCCCACCGUAUACACUCUCUGAUUAUUUAUAUGUAUAUUGUGGUAUUGAUAUACAGAUAUAGAUAUGAUUAUGUUUGUGGAUUCUUGCUUAUUUUUUAAAUUGACGCUUCAAAAGAACGGGGAGCAAAAUGAAGUUUCAUUAGAACUUUUGGUACCAAAAAAAAAGGUCCCUAGUAUCAGCUGCUUCUCUAAUCAUCGCCUCACAAACCCGCCUCCAACAUGGCUUCUGAGAAAGAUGUUGCACUCUCCGUUGAUCCGCCUGGUUCUCCUGUUACGGAUGAUUGUUUUCACAAUUUCUAGCUUUUAGGGGUUUUGGUGGAUUGGCACCAUCAGAAGUUGUGAUUGUCCCUAAAGAGAAAUUGACAGGAGUUUCUAAGGCUGAGGAGGAGCAUUGUCAGAUGCUUGGCCAGUUUCUUUACACUGCUAAGCGGUUUGGUAAACGAGAAGGCCUCCUCAAUCGUGGCUUUUAAGAGUCGUGAUUAAUGAUGGGCCUGAUUGAGGUUAGUAUUCUUUCUUAUUUGCUUUUAACAUUCAACUUUUAAGUAACUUAAAGUUGUUCUAUCUGAAAGUCAUUUUUGGACAUGCCGAUCCGGAGAUUGCCUUCAUAUGGUAUUCCUCGGGGGCCGAAAAUUGAAAUGGCCACCGGGUAAACUAAAGUUAGGAUGUAUUUCUGGUCGCUAAGGAUGUAACAAUCUAUCAGUUUGCUUUAUCGAGACAAAUGGGUACCAUGCAUUUUAUAAAUAAAUUUAUUAAGGCAGCUCGUCUUGUACUAGAGCAGGUCAAACCUUUUAACCAUCUGCUGUUAUCAAUUUAACCAUAUGUCCUUGUUAUCACUAUCUUGAUGGGGCUUUUAUCUUUGUGAUCACAAUCAUUAUGGGGCUUUAUGUUUUUGUAGCUUAUUUGAGUUACUGGUGAUUGUUUGGAUAUAUGAAUAGCUCCAUUUCUCCUA